rnacentral:rRNA from 1 species
AUUGAACGCUGGCGGCAUGCUUUACACAUGCAAGUCGAACGGCAGCGCGGGCUUCGGCCUGGCGGCGAGUGGCGAACGGGUGAGUAAUACAUCGGAACGUGCCCAGUAGUGGGGGAUAGCUCGGCGAAAGCCGGAUUAAUACCGCAUACGACCUGAGGGUGAAAGCGGGGGAUCUUCGGACCUCGCGCUAUUGGAGCGGCCGAUGGCAGAUUAGCUAGUUGGUGGGGUAAAGGCCUACCAAGGCGACGAUCUGUAGCUGGUCUGAGAGGACGACCAGCCACUCUGGGACUGAGACACGGCCCAGACUCCUACGGGAGGCAGCAGUGGGGAAUUUUGGACAAUGGGCGAAAGCCUGAUCCAGCAAUGCCGCGUGUGUGAUGAAGGCCUUCGGGUUGUAAAGCACUUUUGGCGGGAACGAAAAGGACUGUGCCAAUACCACGGUUCGAUGACGGUACCCGCAGAAUAAGCACCGGCUAACUACGUG